ACGGGUGAGUAACACGUGGGAACGUACCCUUUGCUACGGAAUAGCCCUGGGAAACUGGGAGUAAUACCGUAUGAGCCCGAGAGGGGAAAGAUUUAUCGGCAAAGGAUCGGCCCGCGUUGGAUUAGGUAGUUGGUGGGGUAAUGGCCUACCAAGCCGACGAUCCAUAGCUGGUUUGAGAGGAUGAUCAGCCACACUGGGACUGAGACACGGCCCAGACUCCUACGGGAGGCAGCAGUGGGGAAUCUUAGACAAUGGGGGAAACCCUGAUCUAGCCAUGCCGCGUGAUCGAUGAAGGCCUUAGGGUUGUAAAGAUCUUUCAGGUGGGAAGAUAAUGACUGUACCACCAGAAGAAGCCCCGGCUAACUCCGUG
rnacentral:rRNA from 1 species